UCCAUCAAUACAUGCAUGAAAUGAGGUGUGUCUGCCAUACCAGUAGAGUUUUAGCUGUAUCUUUCAGCAUGGUAUCCAUUUAAAAAUUCUUUUUUUUAAUUUCUAUUCCUGACUUAAUCUUUGAAGAAUGAAAAUUAGUUAUUUCUGUUACUCCCUUUCUUCUAAUGUUCAGUGUUUCUGCUCUCCCCUCAGCACCUGUGGAGCUCAGGGAACACAACCUUCAGCUGUUUUUCACAGCUUUGGUCUUUUUACUGGUGUUCUUAACUAUCUCAUCUCUUAAGGAAGGAGUUUGUGGGAAUAGAGAAGCUCUUUGGAAUUCGUAGUAGUACCAGUGCAAACUGACAAGAUAUAUGAAAAACAAGUUUUGCAAAUUUAUCCACAACUAGAGAGUACUGUGGGAUCCUCAACAUCUAAAAGUAGAUAUUUGUAAGCCAUCAAAUAGAAUGCUUUGUUGACUAUUAAAUUAUAUAUAUACUGAUAACUCUAAUUGGCAAAUUUCUUUCAUUGUUAUGCUUUACUCUUUUGAGUCCUUUAUUAAGGUUGUCUCUAUCUUGGAGUGU